rnacentral:rRNA from 1 species
GCGACAGGCCUAACACAUGCAAGCAGGGGCAGCACAAGGAGCAAUCUGAGGUGGCGACCGGCGCACGGGUGAGUAACACGUAUGCAACCUGCCUGUAAGCGGGGAAUAACCCGUUGAAAGACGGACUAAUACCGCAUAAUACUAAAUUACUGCAUGGUAAUUAUUUAAACAUUUAUGGCUUACAGAUGGGCAUGCGCAUGAUUAGCUAGUUGGAGAGGUAACGGCUCCCCAAGGCAACGAUCAUUAGGGGUUCUGAGAGGAAGGUCCCCCACACUGGUACUGAGACACGGACCAGACUCCUACGGGAGGCAGCAGUGAGGAAUAUUGGUCAAUGGACGAGAGUCUGAACCAGCCAAGUCGCGUGCAGGAAGAAUGUCCCUAUGGAUUGUAAACUGCUUUUGCAGGGGAAUAAAGUGCAUCACGUGUGAUGUUUUGUAUGUACUCUGCGAAUAAGGAUCGGCUAACUCCGUGCCAGCCGCCGC